rnacentral:lncRNA from 1 species
GAAGCUUAUAACGUCUAUUUUAAUAUGAUGUGACUAUAUGGCUGAGUCUAUAAGGUGAAUAAUUGUUGAUAAGUAUGCAUAAUGUGAUAAUAUGUGAUCUAAGUGCUAUCAGGUGAUGAUUAUGUGAAGUACGUGUUAGUUUUGAUAUUGUGAAGUGAUAAAUGAUUCGUAUGAUUGAUAUUGGAUAAGAAUAUAUGGAUUAUAGCUAUUGGAUUUUGUUGGUUGAUUAAUGAUUGAGAUAGGAUAAUAGGUGGAUAGUCUUAUACAUAGACGAGACGAUGUCGGAUUUUCGAUAAGGAUUUAUAUGAUAAUUGAUUGGUGAUAUGUUAUGUGGAAUAUGAUUGACUAUAUGUUAGAGUUAAAGCAUGCUUAUGUGUUACGUGGUAUCUGAUAAGUUUAAAGGGAUAUAUAAGUGGGUAUUGAUAUACGUGAGAUGUAUAUGCGAUCGAUUGUUUAGUGAUUAUAGUGUUAUCUUAUUCUCGUAAAGGAUUUGGACGAGACGUGUAUGCCCGAAGACGUUCAGAAAGUCACGUGGUGUUACAAAGCGAAUAAGGGAUGAAUCGAGUAAGCGAAGCGAAGAUGUACGGUAGAUAGAGUAUAGCCAGAGAUGGUCUAGAGACUAUGAGAUGCAUAGAUUGUGAAAGUGGAAAGAUGAGAUUGAGAUGUGAGACUGGAGUCAGAUUUAAGGCAAGUAUCCUAAACCUUUCUCUUGGAUAUAUUGCAAAUAUUCUGAUCCAUUCCUUUGGUAUAUGUUUCAAGUAUUCAUACCUUUCUUUUCAAUGUUCGAAAGUGCGAGUAUUCUGACCCAUUCUUUCUAAUCUUCAAGUUUCUAAAGAAUUUCCGUUUUACAAAUUAAUUCGAAGUUCAGAUUGUCAUUGAAGCAUGUGUUGCUCAGUGAUAGUUAGAGCUUUGAAUGAAUUGGGAUCUUCUUGAUUAUUCAACCCGCCAUUGUCAUGCUGGUUUAGCAGGCUAAAUUCAGUUGCUUAGCCGAUAAUGGAGGAUACUGAAUAGUUGAGGAUUUCCUGAACUGUGAUUUAUGAAAUGAUGGAUCAUGAUUUAUGAAUAGAUUAUUAUCAAAGUUUGAAUUGGAAUUAUUCUGUUGUUGAUGAUAUUUAUGAUGAUGUUCUGUUAAUUUACAUUGGCUUCUUGAAUUGAAUUAGAGAAUUGGAUUAUUGUUUUUAUAUAAACCUGUGGACCAGAUUCGUGGUCAUGUUAGGCCAAUGAGUGCCUUGGAUCCAGUGAUAGAGCAUGGCGGGGCCUGCUCGGGGUUAGUGCGGAACUGAUCAGCUGCCUAACCUUGGUUUUAAUUAAAAUGUGAUAGUCCAAUUCAAUAAUUCUUUGGAAAGAUUGAAUUUCUCAGUUUAAAUGCUGCAAGGUAUUGUAAAUUAUUCUAUACAAUACCAUGAACUCAUGAACUCAGGUUGAAUCCUUUUAUAUCUUGAACUCGUGAACUUCUAUUAUAUCAUUUCAGAACUAUCAUUGUUUAUUAUUACUUGCUGAGCAUUGUUGCUCACCCUUGCUAUUCCUUUCUAACCAUUUCAGAAAGGCUUAAAGAUGAGAUGAUUGAUUGAGAUUGUGAGUAAGGCUAAUGCUAGGCGAGGAGACAGAGUUGAGGAUCCAGUGGUCGAGAAGUGUGCAAAAGGUUGAUGAGGUUGAUGCAAGCUAGAGCUGUGCUAUAGGGAUUCAAGUGUAAGUCAUAGCUGGAAUAGUUGACAGUGAUUCUUCUUAUCGAAGAUGAUCUGAUUUGGUAAGAGAUGUUGUGUAAUAAUAGUGGUAGAUUCUAAUUUCAAUACUGUAACCUGGAAGCGAUCCUGUUGUUUUGGGGGUGAAGAUGUUCUCUUUUAAAUCUUUUAUUUAACGUCUUUCAAAUCUUUUAUUAAAUGUUUUCAAGUUUUAAAUUCUCUGAAUUUCACGUUUUAAAUUCUUUUGGGUUUAAUUAUCUUUAAUAAUAAAAAAAAAAAAAAUAUACAGGAUUUCAAAAGUGUUUAAAAAUGGGUUUUAUGUGGUGACGUCAGAAUCCAGACCCCCGGAUUCCUGGACUGUCACACUGAAGGCUAAGGCGGCCAAAUUUUUUGUCGAAGGAGAAACACUCUUCCGCCGGACCUACUCAUCCCCAAUCCUGAAAUGCAUAGGUCCGGAGGAGGCCGA